GCGGGGAUAGCUUAGUUGAGAGAGUGUCAGACUGGAGAUCUGAAGGUUGUGUUUCGAUCCACGCU
rfam:Glycine max cultivar Williams 82 chromosome 17, whole genome shotgun sequence.